rnacentral:rRNA from 1 species
GUUUCGGAUUACUGGGGCGUAAGCGCAUCGCUAGGCUGGUCUGAUCAAGUCGUGAUGUGAAAUCCCCGGGCUCAACCUGGGAACUGCAUUCGAAACUGGCAGGCUGGAGUCUUGUAGAGGGGGGUAGAAUUCCAGGUGUAGCGGUGAAAUGCGUAGAGAUCUGGAGGAAUACCGGUGGCGAAGGCGGCCCCCUGGACUAAUACUGACGCUCAGGUGCGAAAGCGUGGGGAGCAAACAGGAUUAGAUACCCUGGUAGUCCACGCUGUAAACGAUGUCUACUUGAAGGUUGUUCCCUUGAUGAGUGGCUUCCGGAGCUAACGCGUUAAGUCGACCGCCUGGGGAGUACGGCCGCAAGGAUUAGAAACUCAAAGAAAUUUGACCGGGA